rnacentral:rRNA from 1 species
AGAGUUUGAUCAUGGCUCAGGAUGAACGCUAGCGGCAGGCUUAACACAUGCAAGUCGAGGGGUAUAAGUCUUCGGAUUUAGAGACCGGCGCACGGGUGCGUAACGCGUAUGCAAUCUACCUUUUACAGAGGGAUAGCCCAGAGAAAUUUGGAUUAAUACCUCAUAGCAUUGCAGAAUGGCAUCAUUCAGCAAUUAAAGUCACAACGGUAAAAGAUGAGCAUGCGUCCCAUUAGCUUGUUGGUAAGGUAACGGCUUACCAAGGCUACGAUGGGUAGGGGUCCUGAGAGGGAGAUCCCCCACACUGGUACUGAGACACGGACCAGACUCCUACGGGAGGCAGCAGUGAGGAAUAUUGGUCAAUGGACGCAAGUCUGAACCAGCCAUGCCGCGUGCAGGAUGACGGUCCUAUGGAUUGUAAACUGCUUUUGCACAGGAAGAAACAACAUUACGUGUAAUGUCUUGACGGUACUGUGAGAAUAAGGAUCGGCUAACUCCGUGCCAGCAGCCGCGGUAAUACGGAGGAUCCAAGCGUUAUCCGGAAUCAUUGGGUUUAAAGGGUCCGUAGGCGGCUUAGUAAGUCAGUGGUGAAAGCCCAUCGCUCAACGGUGGAACGGCCAUUGAUACUGCUAGACUUGAAUUAUUAGGAAGUAACUAGAAUAUGUAGUGUAGCGGUGAAAUGCUUAGAGAUUACAUGGAAUACCAAUUGCGAAGGCAGGUUACUACUAAUGGAUUGACGCUGAUGGACGAAAGCGUGGGUAGCGAACAGGAU